UUAUAGGCAGGUUGCAAAAGAGCAGUCUAAGAUUUCAUUAGUGGGCUAUAUGUCAUAUAUAGAGAGAGUAACUUUGUGAGCAAGUUUCCUUCGUGAAACAGUAUUUAUAAGUAGAUAAGAUGCAUUGUUUGCUCAAAAUAUUUCCAGAAAACUUUAUUGUAAUUCAAUGAAGCGGGCCAAAAAUUAAGGAACUUUAGAUGAUUAUAAUAGCACCCAUUUUGUGUUUUUUAAUUGAAUUGUUUGCUCUCUAUGGUUUUCCUUUCUUAAAACCCAUUAGUGAAUUGUUAACGGUGCUGAUGAGGCAUGCCACAUUGCA